rnacentral:rRNA from 1 species
UACGGGGGGAGCAAGCGUUGUUCGGAUUUACUGGGCGUAAAGGGCGCGUAGGCGGCCACCGCAAGUCGACUGUGAAAUCUCCGGGCUUAACCCGGAAAGGUCAGCCGAUACUGCGGGGCUAGAGUGCAGAAGGGGCAACUGGAAUUCUCGGUGUAGCGGUGAAAUGCGUAGAUAUCGAGAGGAACACCUGCGGCGAAGGCGGGUUGCUGGGCUGACACUGACGCUGAGGCGCGAAGGUCAGGGGAGCAAACGGG